CCGCCUUGGCCAUCGCCGUCGUCGCGGCCACUGGCCUUCCCCGGCCGGAGCUCAUGUCUAGGAGGACCUCCAGCGUCGUCUCCUUCGCCACGUGUACCGGUUCGAUCUAGGACCGCUCCAAGCCUCGCCAUCAAGCUCUUCUCCGCCGCGGACGUCACCAUCUCGCUGUCGAUUCGCCUAGCUCCGUCCAGUCUCCGGCCUCCCCGAGCUCACCGACGACACCACAGUGACUCCUCCCUCGGAUCCCCUUUUCUCCCAUUUGAUUUGGACGUCGUAGGCCGCCAUCACCGCCAAGCCCGAACCCCCACGCGUACACAUACGUACAUGCGUGCGGCUGCUGCUCCUGCACUGUUGCUGCCGCCCGCUGUGGCUUGCUGCGCUGCGGCUGCUGUUGUUCCCCCGACACUGCCGCCUGCGUCCGCACACCGCUGCCCCGGCUCCGCCGCUCCCCGCGCGCGUGUGGCCGCACCCCCACUCCUGUUGCUUGCUUCUGAUAUGCCGCUGUUUUGCUUGCUACUGUCGCCGCUCGUUGUUUUUGCUGAUGCUCCUAAGCGUUGCUCAUGAGUGCUAGUCACUCCUACUCCUGGAUACUGCUACUUGCCGCUGCUGAUUCCUACUACUGCCGCUGCUAGUUGCUGCUAAUGGCCAUGGCCGUGGCCAUGUCCAAGCACGUGUGGUGUGCGUGUGUAUGCACAUCCACCAUCGGCCGGCCGUGCAGAUUAUCUUAGGGACUAAUUACUAGUUAGUUUUACUACUAGCCAGUGAUAGUGGCCCCCACUAUUACCUAAUCUAAUUUAAUUAAAGUCUAGUUAACCAUACACAAUGACACAUGGGACCCAUAGGAACUAUUCAUUGGUUGACCCAGUCAACAACUGACUGUACUGUUGACUUUGACCUGGCCCCACAUGUCAUUGACUGUGGCUGGCAAACACUAGGUGACAAGUAUAAUUUUACUGUUUUAUUUUCGAAAUAUUAAUAAAUCCAGAAAUUCAUAAAAUCAUUUAAAACUUUGAAAAUAAUAAAAUAAUCCGUAACUCGGAUGAAAAAACUUUGUACAUGAAAGUUGCUCAGAACGACGAGACGAAUCCUAACACGCGGUCCGUUUGUCCGCCACAAAUCCCUAGCAUAGAAAACAUGCAACCUUUCCCCUCCGGUUCAUCUGUUUGACAGACGUUCGGAACCGGAAAAUCUUUCCCGGAUGUUUUCCCCUUUCGCCAGUAUCGCCUAGCACUGCGUUAGAACACCUCUAGCCCCGCUUAUUGUCUUGUUAUGCAUAUGUUUGCGUGUAUUUACUGUUUCUUCCCCCUCUUCUCUCCGAUAGACCCCGAGACCGAUGUUGAUGUCCCUGUGAUCGACUACAUCAACGACGACCCUCCUUGUCUGAGCAACCAGGCAAGCCCCCCCUUUGAUCAUCGCGAUAUCGCCCAUUCCAUUCUCUCAUGCUUGCGUUAGAUUUUGCUAUUGUUAUUGUUUUCUCCUAUUCUGAUGCAUAGCCUGCUUUUGUAACCUGCUCAUUGUACCUUACCUGCUUAUCCUGAACUACUUAGUAUAGGUUGGUUAGUGAUCCAUCAGUGACCCCCAGUACUUGUCCUUGUUGCCCCUACUUCAUCAUCGACGACUCAAUCAGCGUGAUCGACGACCAAAGCCCGACACCUCACAUCACAUCACGCCCCUUUUGUUGAUCGACUCUGCAGAGCUACUAUCGAGUGCCGAGGGUGAUCCCUCAUAAUGCACUCCUGAUGAUAAUUCUGUAGUGUAGCUAUUCGGUCGUGGUCAUCGAGGGUGAUUUCCUCUUUCACCAUUCCCGAUACCCCUCUGUCGUUCAACACCUCAAGUGUGAACCUCGAUGGUGGUCCCUCUUAUGUUCACCUUGAUGAUUACAUUGAGUGGAAUCCAUCGGGGGUGAUUCCUCGGGUUUUCCCCUUGAUGUUUGGACACACGGUUAUCUUGACUUUACUUGAGACCAUUGUUGAAGUCGGGUCGGCCCUAAGGGGUACCUGCGAGUUGAUGUGAAAGUCGGGCGAGCCCGUAAAGCACCCGCGAGUUUCCACAUGGCACGGCCGGGCAAUUUGGGCCCUUGCCGUAAGUCCAUGAGACGGGGCGAUGGGGUCACCUUAGUCUCUGCUCAUUUCCGCGAGCCCCCAAUGCACUAACAGGUUUGGGUAGUUGUUAUGAGUUGUCCUCUGGCCUUUACGCACUAACCACCACGCGAGAAUAGAUAUGGGCCUCGACGUCGUGGUAUCAGCCGAAGCUUUGUCAGACGUCCAGUUCAGUAGUGCGGCACGGUCGGAUCAUGCUGGCCAUCCAAGGCGGUGCUGGUAUCCACCCUGCUCGCAACGACCCGGAGUGCUGCGGGCGAUGGGCCCAAGACCCCGGAGUGCUUAGGAUGUAGACCGGCGGGGACCUCUCUGCUGAGCCUAGGUAGGGCUGCGACGUGUUGAUCUUCCGAGGGCGGGCAUUGACCCUAGAAAGGUGUGUCCGACCAGAGUGAUCGAGCGUGUUGGGUAACGUGGUGCACCCCUGCAGGGAAGAUAUAUAUUCAGAUACCGUGUCAACGGCAAUGGACGUUCAGACUUGUAUCCGGAUCUUAUAUAACUAGAAAUGGAUACUUGAGAUAUGUGAUGGAUAUGUGUCUCCGAGAUUACUUUCCCGCAGGGAGUCGGGGAAGGAUCUCUGGGCGUUGAUGUUACAACAUGCUUGUUAAAUAUUAUAAACUGCUAUUCUUUACUCUUCUACAUGCUGCAAGAUGCUUGGAGCUGCUUGAAGAUGCUAGUCUUCGAUAGGCUAGGCCUUCACCUCUAUUCUGGCAUUCUGCAGUUCAGUCCACAGAUAUAAACCUUCCAUUUGAUACCAGUGCAUACUUAGUAUAGAUCUGAUGCUUGCGAGUACUUUGGAUGAGUACUCACGGUUGCUUUGCUACCCCUUUUCCCCCUUCCUUCUUCUUUUCGGUUGAUGCAACCAGAUGGUGGAUCCUUGGAGCCAGAUGCCAUCACUGAUGGAUGCUAUUACAUGGAGACCGCCGACAACGAGGAGUAGUUAGGAGGUCCCAGGCAGGAGGCCUUGCCUCUUCGAUCGUUGUUGCUUUUGUGCUAGCCUUCUUAAGGCAUCCUUGUUUAAUUUAUGUCUGUAAUCAGAUAUUGUUGCUUCUGCUGACUCUUGUGCAUUGAGCUUGUAUUCGAGCCCUCGAGGCCCCUGGCUUGUAAUAUAAAGCUUGUAUUAUUUUGAUUUGUGUCUAGAGUUGUGUUGUGAUAUCUUCCCGUGAGUCCCUGAUCUUGAUCGUAUUUGCGUGUAUG
rnacentral:lncRNA from 1 species